rnacentral:ncRNA from 1 species
GUAAGCCGUAUGAGCGAAAAGUUCACGUACGGUUUGAUGAAGGGGGCACUGAUAGUUCUAGAAUAUUUAUAUCUUUAACAGAUACAAAUAGGAGUAGGACUAUCAGGCUCUACUCUAC